rnacentral:rRNA from 1 species
UGGUGGAGUGAUUUGUCUGCUUAAUUGCGUUAACGAACGAGACCUUGACCUGCUAAAUAGCCAGGUUCACUUUGGUGGACCGCCGGCUUCUUAGAGGGACUUUUGGCUCAAGCCAAUGGAAGUACGAGGCAAUAACA